rnacentral:rRNA from 1 species
GAUGAACGCUGGCGGCGUGCCUAAUACAUGCAAGUCGAGCGAACAGACGAGGAGCUUGCUCCUCUGACGUUAGCGGCGGACGGGUGAGUAACACGUGGAUAACCUACCUAUAAGACUGGGAUAACUUCGGGAAACCGGAGCUAAUACCGGAUAAUCUAUUGAACCGCAUGGUUCAAUAGUGAAAGACGGUUUUGCUGUCACUUAUAGAUGGAUCCGCGCCGCAUUAGCUAGUUGGUAAGGUAACGGCUUACCAAGGCAACGAUGCGUAGCCGACCUGAGAGGGUGAUCGGCCACACUGGAACUGAGACGCGGUCCAGACUCCUACGGGAGGCAGCAGUAGGGAAUCGUCCGCAAUGGGCGAAAGCCUGACGGAGCAACGCCGCGUGAGUGAUGAAGGUCUUCGGAGCGUAAAACUCUGUUAUUAGGGAAGAACAAAUGUGUAAGUAACUAUGCACGUCUUGACGGUACCUAAUCAGAAAGCCACGGCUAACUACGUG